rnacentral:rRNA from 1 species
CAAUAGCGUAUAUUAAAGUUGUUGCGGUUAAAAGCUCGUAGUUGGAUUUCUGCUGAGGACGACCGGUCCGCCCUCUGGGUGAGUAUCUGGCUUGGCCUUGGCAUCUUCUUGGAGAACGUAGCUGCACUUGACUGUGUGGUGCGGUAUCCAGGACUUUUACUUUGAGGAAAUUAGAGUGUUUCAAGCAGGCACACGCCUUGAAUACAUUAGCAUGGAAUAAUAAGAUAGGACCUUGGUUCUAUUUUGUUGGUUUCUAGAGCUGAGGUAAUGAUUAAUAGGGAUAGUUGGGGGCAUUCGUAUUUCGUUGUCAGAGGUGAAAUUCUUGGAUUUCCGAAAGACGAACUACUGCGAAAGCAUUUACCAAGGAUGUUUUCAUUAAUCAAGAACGAAAGUUAGGGGAUCGAAGACGAUCAGAUACCAU